CCUCAGUAAGAAAGAAAGCGAGUGUUCCACGUACCCUCUAGUUCAGCCUCUUUGAACCAGAUCUAUUCAGUGAACCCGUUUAAUAAGUGGUUGUAGUGCUAUCACUGCUAAGGUUGUGGCCUGGAACUAAGGGUAAGGGAAGAGGGCUCUAGUGGUUUGUUUUGUUGUUGUCAGCUCUCAACUGAAUGUGAUACAGAAUUAUCUUAGUGCCACAUAGUGGAAUUGUGUUUAGUGAUCUCCCUAUAAGUGUAUUUUAGGGCCAGACUAGCUCCAGAUGCUUUUGUUAACGAGAAUAGUGCUUAGAAGCAGGAAGCUUGAUUUCUCUGUGCCUUGCUCAGAUGUUUUCACAUGUGCCACAAAGUGGUUGCACAGCAGUGCCAUUCUUAUCUGAGCUAAAAAAAGAACAGACUUCCCAGUAAGUGCCACAGAACAUCAUGUCCCUAAAACCUUCAUGAGAUUAAAAAGACAGCAACAAUUCUGGUUUUAAAAGAGGAAAAUAUUUAUGAGAAUCUAGCUUCUUGACCGUACAUUGCUCAGUUUAUUUACCCUACAGUACACUGCAUGUGAAUCAGAAGUAUGAUAUGACUGAUCAAUGCAGUCCAACUAGUAAUCUAUCUGAAGUCACGUAGCUGUAAUUUUCUUAACAUUCAAGCACAGUGCUCAAGAAACAUCACAUGAAGUGGAAACCUUUGGUUGCUACCUGUGGAAAGAAUAACUGUACAGAAGAGGGAGCACACUUCUGGAUCCCCUUCUUUUUGCUUUUGCUUUCAAACAAGUGCUUUCAUGAGCAAGUAUAGGGACCUAGCCGACACUAUUUUUAAUAUAGGCAAACACAAUGCUUUUGUUGUUAUUUAGAAGAGAGCUGGAGAUACACAAUGACUGGGUAAGAAUGGAAUAACUCCUGGGAAACAAAAUGCAUAGCUAAAAAUAAAUAAAUUGUGAAAAGUUCUGCAAAAUAUUCUUUUAAGUUUAUGGCAGAGAAUGAAUCUGUAUCCUAAAAAAGAAUAAAGUCAGCAAUUGUAUGCACUUUUCAUGACUGUCAUCUAAAACCUGGCAAACAGAUUAUUUGUUGGCUUAGUAGAUUAGACAUGAGAGCUUCUGUAAAUUAAAAACAAAAGCAGCUUUGGAAUGUAUUUCACUGUCUCAGUUGGAAAACAAAGAUCUCUUUUCCCUCCACCCCUUCUUUUCCUUAGGAUAAUUAAAAAUAAAAAAGUGUUCAGAGCCAUAUAAAUAAAACAAGGGCUGGGACAAAAA